UCCAGACAAACGAUCGCGGCAAAGUCGUGGUGCGCAUGCAGAAUACCACUCUUUUAUCUCACAGCUGCUAAGGAAAACUGGAGGAUCCAACGAGAUUUUAAAUGAAUUUAUGAAGAGCACUGCUGGGAUCUUAAUUUUUGAGUGAUUUUGGCAAAUUUUUCAAAUAUUCCCAUUCUUCAGAACAUUUGUAGCAUUCUGUGCAUGAGCUAUGAGCGUGGAAGCAGCUCUGGGGGCGAGGAAUCCAAACAGACGGGCUUAUUAUGGGGAAACGAGGGCAAUGCAGGACAGAUGGUAACGAACAUCAGUGACAGAUCUGGGGAAACAGACUUGACCGCGGACUAAAUACACACUGAAGGCAGGAAACGCGGAACAGCAGGUGACAAUGAGAGUUUCACACAAGGUCGCCGGUAUUGCAUUGUCCUCUGGAAUACAGUGUGCCGAGCAUGGGGAGCCCACAGGACCCAGCGCCUGCCAAGCCGACAGCUGCUGAAUACACUUUCAGGGAUUUUAAGGCCCUGGGAUAGAAGUGCAUAUCGUACAGCAACAAAAAAAUUUAAUAUUAAACAUAACAUGCAUCUC